UCAAUCCAUUCAACCAUUUAACCCAUCAAAUUAAAUGAGUUCAUGGGUUGACUAAACUAAUUUGCUAAAUUAGUUUAGUCAACCCAUGAACUCAUUUAACUCUUAACUCAUUGGAUAAUGAGU
rnacentral:pre_miRNA from 1 species